CAGGGCUAAACGUAGAGGGAAGCUGUUGCCACUUAAGGCCUGAGGAGGAAGGGGAGAAAAUACUGUUUGGGGGGCCUGGUGGCAGCUGGAGCCGGGAGGAAGACCAUGAGGGAGAAACCAUAGUCAUGGAAGGAUGUUGUCACUGCCAGGACCAAGGCACCAAGAUUGUGUGUUAAUCACUGAGUUCGAGUGAAGACCCUCAAGAAUUCCACUGAUGACUGCAUCAUCAAAGGGAACCGAGCCCUGCCCAGGGACACACAGUUAUUUUCCUCUUCCUCGUCCUUUGGAGAAGCACAGUUGAAGCUUCCUCCCUGCACCACAGCCCCCACUCCUUGAGCAUGAAUGUGCAGACCACCCACCGCCCCAUGCUUGUAUCUACAACAGCUAUGAGGAAGAAUAUACAGAUUAAUCACCUUGCUGCAGGGUG